GCCCCGUGUGGGGCGAUGUGGCGGCCGCGCUGCUCCGGCUGCCGUCCCGGUGCUGUCCCCGCUUCUGUUCCCCGCGAUGUUCCUCUUAGUGCACAGCCAACACAGGGACCAGGCGUGUGGGCCUCGCCGUGCGCUCCCGGCCGCGCCAUCCCGCCCCUUUUCCUCCCAUCCCGCCCUCGGUCCACGUUUCCCCGACGGUGUGUUAAUUCCCGACACAAAUGAGAUGCAACAUGGGCAGCACAAGCGUCCUCGAACUGCCCCGCCAACGUGACCCAGUUCUGAAUGAGCAGCACCAGCUUGCUGGGGGAGAAAGGAGCCUGUCACUAUUCAGCCCCUGACCCCUCUGCUCCAGGCUGUUAAUGAAGGGGCCUCAUUAACACCAAAGAUAAAUCACUCUGCCUUGAAAAGUUUCCAGUCUGCCAGCCAGAUCCUGGGAUCUGAAACAGCGGGAGGCAACUGGUGCAGCAGAACAGGAGAGAAGCGAGGCUGGGAUCAGCAACACAGCUCCUAUCCUGGCACAUUAAUAGGAUCAUUGGGAAGAGCCCAACUUCUGCAACUCCAGCCUGAGACAGAGGGACAGAACCUUCACCUGUGACAGCUUCCUUGGAGUCCUCACCUCCUUGCUGAGCCCUGCUGCCUCCUCCCCACCUGGCUCCUCACACCUCACAUCUGCCCAGCUCUGUGAAGAAAUUCUCCAGACAAGUGCAAGCCCAGGCCAGAGAAGGGAAAGACCUCAGGGUUCAGCUGUCCAUGGCCAUGCUGAGCAGAAAUGUCGUGAGCUGCUGAGACCUGAUGCAGUUGAAGCACAGCCCAGGUGGCAGGAAAGUGGUGCAGGGGCAGGACACGGUGAUAUCCAACAAGGAUGUGAGUGCUGCUUCAAUCCCUCAUUUGAGAGCUCUAAGCCCCAAAGUGGUGACA